rnacentral:rRNA from 1 species
AUUCCAGGUGUAGCGGUGAAAUGCGUAGAGAUCUGGAGGAAUACCGAUGGCGAAGGCAGCCAUCUGGCCUAACACUGACGCUGAGGUGCGAAAGCAUGGGGAGCAAACAGGAUUAGAUACCCUGGUAGUCCAUGCCGUAAACGAUGUCUACUAGCCGUUGGGGCCUUUGAGGCUUUAGUGGCGCAGCUAACGCGAUAAGUAGACCGCCUGGGGAGUACGGUCGCAAGACUAAAACUCAAAUGAAUUGACGGGGGCCCGCACAAGCGGUGGAGCAUGUGGUUUAAUUCGAUGCAACGCGAAGAACCUUACCUGGCCUUGACAUAGUAAGAACUUUCCAGAG